rnacentral:rRNA from 1 species
GCACGGAGUUAGCCGGUGCUUAUUCAUAUGGUACCGUCAGUUGAUCUAGAAAGACCCUUUUUCGUCCCAUAUAAAAGAAGUUUACAAUCCAGAGGACCUUCAUCCUCCACGCGGCGUGGCUGGUUCAGACUUGCGUCCAUUGACCAAUAUUCCUUACUGCUGCCUCCCGUAGGAGUCGGGCCCGUGUCUCAGUGCCCGUGUGACUGGUCGUGCUCUCACACCAGUUACUGAUCGCAGACUUGGUGGGCCGUUACCCCGCCAACUAUCUAAUCAGCCGCACACCCAUCAUCAAGCGCAUUACUGCUAUAAUAAUAAAAAGAUGCCUUUUCAUUAUGUUACGGGGUAUUAAUCCAAAUUUCUCUGGGCUAUUCCCCACUUAAAGGAAGGUUGUGUACGUGUUCCGCACCCGUUUGCCGGUCGCCAUCAACUGUAUUGCUACAGUCAUGCUGCCCCACGACUUGCAUGUAUUAAGCCUGCCGCUAGCGUUCAUC